UUUGGCGGAGCCAUCCUUGGGAUACCACCCUUGUAGUACUGGGACUCUAACCAUAGGCCAUGAAUCUGGUCCCCCCCCCCCCCCAGGUGGGCAGUUUGACUGGGGCGGUCGCCUACGCAAAGGUAACGGAGGCGCUCAAAGGUUCUCUCAGUACGGUGCCAAAUCGUACGCAGAGUGUAAAGGCAAAAGAGAGCUUGAUUGCAAGACAUACAGGUCGAGCAAGGAUGAAAAUCGGACUUAGUGAUCCGGUGGGUCUGCGUGGAAGGGCCAUCGCUCAACGGAUAAAAGCUACCCGGGGGAUAACAGGCUUAUCUCCCCCAAUAGUCCACAUCGACGGGGAGGUUUGGCACCUCGAUGUCGGCUCAUCACAUCCUGGGGCUGUAGUAGGUCCCAAGGGUUGGGCUGUUCGCCCAUUAAAGUGGUACGCGAGCUGGGUUCAGAACGUCGUGAGACAGUUCGGUCCCUAUCCGUCGCAGGCGUAGGAAAUUUGAGAAG
rnacentral:rRNA from 1 species